rnacentral:rRNA from 1 species
UACCUACGGGGGGCAGCAGUAGGGAAUCUUUCACAAUGGGCGAAAGCCUGAUGGAGCAACGCCGCGUGCAGGAUGAAGGCCUUCGGGUUGUAAACUGCUUUUAUAAGCGAGAAAUAUGAUGGUAACUUAUGAAUAAGGAUCGGCUAACUCCGUGCCAGCAGCCGCGGUAAUACGGAGGAUGCGAGCGUUAUCCGGAUUUAUUGGGUUUAAAGGGUGCGUAGGCGGGCUGUUAAGUCAGCGGUAAAAGCCCGGGGCUCAACCCCGGCGAGCCGUUGAAACUGGCUGUCUUGAGAUGUCGAGAGGUA